rnacentral:rRNA from 1 species
UCAAACCCGGGCGCGGAAUGAAAGUGAACGGAGGUGGGAACCCCCCCGUUUUGGCGUGGAGGCGCACCAUCGACCGAUCCUGAAGUYUUCGGAUGGAUUUGAUUAGGAGCAUAGCUGUUGGGACCCGAAAGAUGGUGAACUAUGCCUGAAUAGGGUGAAGCCAGAGGAAACUAUGGUGGAGGCUCGCAGCGGUUCUGACGUGCAAAUCGAUCGUCAAAUUUGGGUAUAGGGGCGAAAGACCAAUCGAACCAUCUAGUAGUUGGUUCCUGUCGAAGUUUCCCUCAGGAUAGCAGUAACGUCCCCCCAGUUUUAUGAGGUAAAGCGAAUGAUUAGAGGCCUUGGGGUCGAAACGACCUUAACCUAUUCUCAAACUUUAAAUAUGUAAGAAGUCCCUGUUGCUUCGGUGAACGGGGACCGUUGAAUGGAUCGUUACUAGUGGGCCAUUUUUGGUAAGCAGAACUGGCGAUGCGGGAUGAACCGAACGCGAGGUUAAGGUGCCGGAAUGCACGCUCAUCAGACACCACAAAAGGUGUUAAUUCAUCCAGACAGCCGGGACGGGGGCCAUGGAAGUCGGAACCCGCUAAGGAGUGUGUAACAACUCCCCGGCCGAAUGAAAUAGCCCUG